CUCGUUUCUGUUCCCGCGUGCAUCGGAAAUUUCCUGGGUAUUUCUCCGUCUCCGGCAGGUCUCCGUCGAUCUUCAGGUCCUCCUUCGACGCUUCCGUUUAGAUGAUGACCAUGUUCCAAGUUUGAAUGACUUGACCAGUCAAAUGACUCAACAAGAAACGCAGUAUAGUCCAGAGGUGCAAGUUGUUGGUACUCGUGGUAACAGGGGAACCAAGAGGUCUAAAAAUUUUAGUGUUGAGGAAGACGAACUUAUUUGUGAAGGAUGGUUGAUAGACUGGAUUAAAGUAGCCAAGGGAGGUAGAUGCCAUCCGAAAGAUAAUAACCCAUGUUGUAGUCGUGGCCAUUUACAGAAAAAUUCACUGCUGGAGCUCUACCUUCCGCGAGAUUGUCAAACAAAGGAGAUCUAUGAAGAACAUUAAUGUCAUUAUGAGAGUCGGGCAUUCCAAAGAAAGCAUGCCAUAUCCAAAGGUCAUCCGAAGCUACAGCUUCCAAAAUGAUAGUGGGCUUAUCCACAUGACCCUUGUACUGACCCUGUUUGUCAUAUGGACAAUUCUUCCACGCCCAAUGCAUACAAUCAAUGGA